GAAUUAAGAGACAGCAAGAGUAGACUUCUAAUCUUACUCUUAAGCGGCGCACCUCCGUUUUUAAUUCU
rnacentral:tRNA from 1 species